GUAGUAUUGUCAUUUUCAUUUCAAUUUCAGCUUGCAACUUGCUUGUGGAAGCGAUGUAAAUCUGAAAUCGUAGAAUCCACCGUCAACUCUCUGUUCAAUCGCCGCCACCGUAAACUCUGUUCAACCGCCGCCACCAUCAACUCUCUGUUCAAUCGCCGCCACACAACUUGACUCUUUCUUUCUAAGAAAUGCUGUGGAGCUUGGACCUUUUGGACCUUUGGCUGUUACUCUCAUGAAAAUGCCUCGUUUGAGUUUUUGUCGUGUUGAUGAAUUAGCUUUUGCAGUUAAUAAGCAUGAUCUUGGGAAUUACAGGCCUUUAAUAACUCUCUAUAAGGAUUGGGGUCAAAGUAACUUUGGGAUUUCAGUGAAAUAGAUGAAACUUUGUUGCAACCCGUCAUUGAGGCUCUGCAACCUAUAGCUGAUGUCACUGUUGAAAGCCAGGUUUUGUACCAUACACCAAAGGCUUCGUUUUCUGAUUGGGAUGAUGAACAUGGCAGCCACAUAUUCACCACUCAGGAUCUUCCUUUCUUUCUUUAUGACAUAAAGUUAUGCAUUAUUGGCAACUGGUGUGAUCUCUAUGUAAGUACAGUAUAUAAGUGUUGAAUACGGAUCAGGAGAGAUCAAUUUAAGUACUGUAACAAAGGUCAAGAAAGGAAAGGGAACUUCUGGUGUAUCUGCUACCAACAGUCUAGAUGUUCAUCGUGCCGUGAGGACUGGUUUACCUGAAUCAUUGUCUUGUCAAAACGUGUUGUCAUCGAGAAGCCAAGCCACAGUGGUUCCUUCUCCCGAAUGUCAAAGUCCAGUUGAAUUGAUGCAGUUCAGAAUACACUUAAACUUAACAUGAAAAUCCAAGUAGGGGAGCUAGACGGAGUCAAGAGAGUGAUCACAGUCAACUUCAGCCUUCACCUUUGCGAGGUAUAUUGUUGGAAUAAAUGCGUUCCUUUAAUACAAUUCUAGUUUAGUGCAUCAAGUUUUAACCAAUUUAUUGCAGAAAACCCAAUCCGGUGCUCUCGUUUCGGUAAUUGGUUUAAUUAUAAUGGCUACGCUGUUUCUGCACGAGAUGGGUUAUUAUCUCACAACUUAAACUGUUCAUGAGAUGUCAGUGGACUUGAAUCGUGGAGAGACUCUUCCGAUUCAUAUAAAUAUGACAUUCCCUUCUUUACCUUGUGAUGUUUUGAGUGUGGAUGCUAUUGAUAUGUCGGGCAAGCAUGAGGUGGAUCUUGAUACUAACAUAUGGAAAGAAGAGUUAAAGAAGCACAUGGUAGAGGAGGCGGGUAGCUCAUAUAAUUCUCAAGCCAUCAAAUAUUCUACAAGCUGAAAGAAUGAUACUUAUUCAAAGGUUAAAGGGCCCGAAAAGAGAGGACAAGUGCGUUGUCCUGGCAAGCUUCCCUGACAUGCCAGUUUUAGCUCCAAUGCUGAUAAUAGAGUUGCAACAUUAGAGAAUUUGCUUGGAAAUCUAAUUUCUAUUCUUCAAGUGCGGUUUUCUGAAGAUCGACAAGUUAACGAGGUCUUACGAGUUAUAAACGAAGAGGUUUGAUUUUGUGUCACCUAUUGACCAUAAUCUGGUGAAGUUCAUCUCAAGAUACUCUUCACCUCCCUUUGCUAUACAGAUGUUUACAUGAAAGUGAAGAUACAAGAAUAUUAAAAUAAAAAUAUAUGUGAUUUCUUUUGUAAGAUUUUAAGUAUAUUGAAUGAAACUUUCUAUGUUGAAAUAUUUGAAUUUAAUGUAAAAUGGGAUAAUUUUUUCA